GGCAUUUGCAGAAAGAUGUAGUGAUAGGUGCUGGUAGAGAUGUGCCCAACAAGCACCCCUUGUGUGCAGACUUGAAUGUAAAACCACAUGACUUCCAGAUCUCAGAGUAGGUGUGGCUUCAAAAUGGAGAAAUUACAGCAGCGAGCUGGAAGAAUGAAUUUUUCCCGCUUUGUAAUAAUAAUGUCAGAGCUGUUAUUACAUUUGGCUUGGAGAGCAGGUUGGAAGUGUUUCUCAGAAGGGAAGUGCUUCCAGCUCCAUGUCUCUUUCAAGAGCUCCAUUCCCAUGUACUUGCUGGAAACCUUUCAGGAAACCACAUUCCCUUUCCCGUCCCUGUUCAGCAAUGUGAUCCUUCCCAGCCAGAGUGGCUUGCAGACUGCCUUGUCGUCCGGGCCUGGGAAAGGAAUGUGACAACGAGGGGGCAAAAGUGCUGGUGCUUCCAAUCCCUUCCUAUGCUGCCUUUCAGAAGAAACCUCGUCCCCACCUCCUUAUGAAAGGGUUUUCUACAUCCAUCAGCAUGUUUAGAAAGAUCUGCAGUCUCUAAUUUUCCAGCAUGUGGUGGGUGAAGCAUGUGAUUUUAGCUGGAAACAGUCACAUGGCCAGAUCCUCAGCCUUGUGCGAGUCUGCCUGUUGCUCCAAGGGUCACACUGUGCUGUUGUCAUUUGUGCUGGUGGCAAAGCAGGUCCAGUAGAUUGCUCCCUAAGUUGCCUGUUAUGGCCCUAAAUGAUGGCUGGUGUCUGACAGUACUGCAUGGGAUAGAAACACUACUGCUAUGCAGAAGAAAUGCCCUGAAACCUUGUGCUAGUGCAAUUUUCCAGGCAAUCAACAAUUCAAAAAGACAGUAGGUGAAGAAAUGCUGUUUAUAUUACAAGUUUCAAUAAAUAAGAUAAAGGGGGCAGGAAGAAGAGAGGGGAUCAAGGAACUGUUAAUGACUUAGAGGACAGAAUCAUAUUAGAGACAGAAAUGUAAACUGGUUUUGCUAUUGCUAAAAGCCCAGGAGAUACACAUUUCAUUUUGCAGAGAAAUAUUCUGAUCAGUGUUUUCUUCUGUCAUAGCAGCGGACAAUUGAGCUUGGAUCCCCGCCAGCCUUUAUCCUCUCUUUAAACUAAACAAUUAAUUAAAAGGGAACACAAGACAGGACAAUUUAGCCAGCUCUGUUAGUUUAGACAGAAUGGGUUAUUGGGCAAUGCCAUUGCGGCACAGAACAAUCGCUCCUAGCUUCUGUGCCACAGGAACAGUUAAGCCUUUCAAGAUGAUUUUCUAGCCACUGCUGUUAGGGUGAUUGUGCUGUUUUCUUAUUCUUUAUUUUUAUGCUGUUUCAUUUGCUCAUCAUUGUUACUGCUUGUAUUAUGUGGUGCGUGGGUGGUAAGGAUUAGAUAGUGAUUCUCAACACAACAGUUUCUCUUGAGACAGACAUUUACCCACCCUGAGACAAUUGCUCUCCAGAACUGAGGCAAAAGAAUAUAGGAGACAAGUUGCACUGAAGUCAAAGAAAAGCCUCUUGCAGGCCCCAGUGGACAGGAAAACUGGAAGAUGGAGAGCUAUUCUUUUACAUGUUUUGAAAAGCUAAGAAUGUGAGUCUCAGAAAAAUCAGAAUAGACACCAGCAACAGAAAGGAUUUUAGCAGCAGAAUGGAGGGCUACUACUUCACCUGGAUUUUAGAAACAUAAAUAUUAUCCCACUCUGUGUGAAUUCAUAAAGUCACUAAAUAGAGGCCCCCUUUAGGUACUGGAAAGCCGCUCUAAGGUCUCCCUGGAGCCUUCUCUUCUCCAGGCUGAUCAACCCCAACUCCCUCAGCCUGUCUUCAUAGGAGAGGUGCUCCAGUCCUCUGAUCAUCUUUGUGGCCCUCCUCUGGACUUGUUCUAAGAAGUUCGUGACCUUCUUCUGCUGGGGAUCCCAGAACUGAAGACUACACUCCAGGAGUCCCAGGUCCUUUCUGUGAAGCUGCUUUCUAACCAGUUGGCAUCCAGACUGUUCCAGAUGCAGGACUCAGUAUUUGCCUUUGUUAAGCAUCAUGACUUCAGGUCCAUGAGAGGCGAAGUUUCUAGCAUUCUUGUGGGAGAUCCUGUACUUCGUACUGUUUUGUCAUUCUUUCAGAGAUCUGGAGUUUGUCCACUAUUUCCUGCAGAGAAAACCUUGAUUGACGAGCCCUCAGAUGCCGAUUUACUGUACAUGGCAGCCACGCUGGAGCCGAGGCACAUCUGGAGUGGAGUAAGCUUACUCAGAAACAGGGGCCAGCUCCAGCCGGAGCCAGCGAAGCUGAGCGCGGCGCUGAAAGGCAGCCCUCCUGCCUCCCCUUCCCUCCUCCCCGGGUACAUUUCCUAAUGUAAACAGAGGCCGGGGGGAAGGACACAGUAACUCUUUGCUGCAUGUUUGUCAUGUCGCGUUCUUUAUCUGCUUGAGGUCAAGCCGGAGCUCUGGAAAAACAGAAGCUUUGCUUUUAUUCUAAAUAGCUGAAAGCCAGCGCUGCUGAAGGGGAAAAAAAAGAAAGAGUUUGCUUUUGUGUUUAUUUGUUCCACUUUAUGGUAAUUUGGGGGAUAAUUUCAUUAUCUGCAGCCAAAUUGAAAACAAGCUGUUGUCAAUGCUAAUGAUACCAGUGUAUUAUUUUAUGUACAGUAGGCGUGGAGCUCUUUAAACCACAAGUGGACUGGAUUUCUGCUUACAGCUGUACUGCUUUAACUUUUUUUUUUUUUUUAUAAUUGCAAAAUGAGACUUUCCUUUUAUUAUCUGGAAACAAAAAAGAUUAUGGAUGGCUGCUUUGUUUUACAAAAUGGCGAAUACCUUUCCCGGCCUGGUGCCAGCCUGCUGUCCAGCGCGUGCAUUUUAGCUACGUUAGCGCAAAGAAAAAGCACGAUCGUUUUGGGGCAGAUAUGCUGCUUUUAUAAUCCGGUUCACUGGACUGCUGACUUCCAGUCUCUGUAAAGAAAUGGCAGAGAUUUCUGAGGCAUUUACUGACUGUCAGCAAUCUGGAUGAGUACUCUGUAAUUGAGGUUUAAUAAAGUUUUUAUUUCUUCUUUUUAAUAGCAGAAUGAUAAAAGUGGUAGGUUAGUUGUUCAGAUGACAUUAAAAUGACGAGCAUCCAAAUUAAAAAGGGCUUCCCCACACAGUAUUCCUCACUACUCAGUAGAUGUUGCAGUGCACAAAGCAGAGAAAGCAAACAUCAGAAGACAUUGCCACUGAUAACAUAUUGACGUGUGCCAUGUUGAUUUAUCUGUCAAGAAAUAAAUACUUUUUCUAGGGAUGUUGCUUCUUUGUCUUCCUUAAGUUCACAAACCUCACUCUGUAUUUUAGGCUUCUGGUGGAUUAAACAGUGACCUCCCAGACGAGUAGGUGGCUCCCAUGGCUCCUGAUGGAGCCUGGCCUAGCUAUCACAUAGCAGAA